UACGGAGGGGGCUAGCGUUGUUCGGAAUUACUGGGCGUAAAGCGCACGUAGGCGGCUUUGUAAGUUAGAGGUGAAAGCCCGGGGCUCAACCCCGGAAUUGCCUUUAAGACUGCAUCGCUAGAAUUGUGGAGAGGUAAGUGGAAUUCCGAGUGUAGAGGUGAAAUUCGUAGAUAUUCGGAAGAACACCAGUGGCGAAGGCGACUUACUGGACACAUAUUGACGCUGAGGUGCGAAAGCGUGGGGAGCAAAUAGG
rnacentral:rRNA from 1 species